GCUGAGUGCUAAGUGCCCAGGGACUCUAGAACAGCAAAUUGAGCCUGAGAAUUGUUUCUACUUCUUUGCUUUGAUGUUCUACCAUGAUGGGAAUCAUAUAAUCAAAUAUAAAUGUGGAUAUGUAUGGCUUCAGCCAUUUUUCAAGUGAAAGAUAGAACAUGUCCAGCUUCAUUGGACUUAAUUCUCACGGAAAAUCACCGGAAUUAAACUGCAGAUGACCUAUUACUGAAACUUUGCUGCUUAUAGACUUGAUGAGCAUCUCUCCAGCAAAUAAGAAAAGUGAAUUAAGUGCUCAGAAUUAACUGAACCUAUUGGUGA